rnacentral:lncRNA from 1 species
AGAAUCCCAAGGACAAAUGAAACUUUCUGAUGAUGCAAAACACUUUUACUCCAAGGAAACUAUUUUAAGGUUUUCCACAAAAUGCCAUGAAUUCCUGGUGUUCCCGUCCUCAAGGGUCCCUUUGUCUGGACUUCUGUGUCCUUCCUAGGAAAACUAGCAGCCACACAGGCCCUAACACUAGCUGACAGCCUGUGUCAUCACGCACUGGGUGAUGAGCAAGCCGCAUCGUCUGCUCCGACACAGUAGGAAGUCACCAGCUCUCAGCAGUGCCAUGUGGUUGGAGGUUUUCCUGAUUGUUCCACACGGAGAUGACUCUUCUUCCUGCUUCGGGAUUUUGUUUUAUGAAAAUCAAGAGUGUUAGCAUUCAGAAAAAGAGCUUCCCUUUUAAAUGAUACAUGCCCAAAUAAAACAUUCAAACAAUGUGGAAAAGCACACACAAGAAAGUGAGGUAUCAGACAGCCAGCAUCCAGAGGGCGUUAUCGCUUAACAGGCCACAGAAACUUGGGAAGAGAAGGUCUCUGUUCCCUUCAUAGUGGUCCCAUUUUGUUGGCUCAGUCUGCUGUCAGAAAUCAGCAAAAAUCACCGCUGCACACAAUGUUCAGCUGACGUGGACUUUGCCUCUUGCUCACGUGUAAGGCGCUGUACAGCUAUCGCCCACCUGUCCAGCCAAUAUUUACUGUGCCCCAUCUAUGCCGAGUCAGGCUGGCUGUGGAGCCAGCACGUCCCAGAGCCUCUGGCCCUCACCUGGAGCACCCCUAGUCUUGUUGCAGUGUCCUCGGGAAAGCCUUCUGCUGAACACCCUUCAGCCUGAGGCUGCUGGGCUGUCCUGACCAGGCCGGAUGCUGCCAGGCCAGCCCGGAGCCUGUCCAGUGGCACUGAUCUAGAGUGUUCCCUGGACUGGCGUCUGCUGACCUAGGACCCUUCCCUGGUGGGCUCCCUAUGCCUAGUCCACUCUUUCUUUCUGACCAUCUCCUGUUUUGGGAAGCCAGAUGUUACAUAAGACCUGCUGUGAAGAAGCUGGAACUUAGUUCUUCCAGCAAGUUUUGUUACUCACUCUAAGAUGUCACAUCAGUCAAACCCGUUCUAUGACCUCUGGACACCCAGAGCUCCAACGUCACCUCCUGGGGCUACUUUCCUGAGCUCCCUGCUCCAAACGUCAGCGCCAUCCAUCUGGAGCCCCCGCCUUUAUGUAUUCUUGUUCAUAGCAUUUACCUACUUGACUCCUUACCCACGUCUGAUUGCGUGCUGGCUGUACCCCACUAGAAGGCCCCAGCCCUGUGCAAGGCGGGGGCGGGUGGUGAGGGAGGGGCCCGGUUUGUUCAUCCUGCAUCCCUCGCACGUCACAGUAGGCACUCGAUCAACGUACUCUGAAUGAAUGAGUGCAUGGAUGAGUGCAUCGUUCCAGACGGGCUCCUCCCUGUGACACUCUGCUUAGGCUGACCCAGAGCCCCUGAGACGCCCCGUGGAGAGGGAGGCCAGGGCUGCGCUGUUUCCUGUGCAAUCUGACCCUGAGGACACCCCUCGGCUUUAGCUGACAACGUUAGGUCAUUUGGCUCAUGCCAUAACGGCUCAUGCCUCCCAGUCUAAUGAUUUUUUAAGUACGCUUUUGGAUUUUCCUUUCAAAUAAACUAUCUCACCAGCUCCUGGUGACAAGUUGAACACCUCGGAGAUCACAGCACUGAGUCCUGGGGGUCAAAAGAAAUCAUUCAAAGCUGAGAAAAUCAAGUAGUAUUAAAAGGACAGAAGCUAACCCAGAGAAUUUUUUAAAUAACAUGAUAAACUAAAAUUGGGUAAUGGAGGGAGGUAGAGAAAGUGGCGGUGCUUCGGGUGGAGUAGUAAGUUCUGCCUAAUCUGAGCUACGUUACCCCGCAGAGCAGUAGUGUUACGAGGGCAACGGCAAGAUGAGCCAGAACCGAAAUAAUCAGCAGCAGCACAUGCACCCAAGAUGAAGAACACACAAACUAUAAACCAGGCAGUAAAAGAGAAAACAUGUAGAAAAUAGGACAGAAGUAAGACCAAGUAGCUCCAAAAUUUGACAGGGCUGAACUGAGCAUUUAAAUAUAAAACACAAACCCGCUAAAAGUUAAACCAUGAAACAUCUAGAAGGAAACAUAGGAGUUAGAAAAAGGAGUAAUUUUGGAGUGCAGAUUAGAAGUGUGAGUAAACGUUAAGACACCAUAAAACAAAAGAUUAAUAUGCUGACCGUAUACAGAUAGAUAGAAGAAAUCUGUAGGUCAAAAAAGGAAAAGAUGAAUAAAAUUUAAAAAGGAGGACCAAGCAUGAAAUAUACUUGCACCACACAUCAGAAUCAAAGCAGAUGGUGUCUUCACUUCCUGUUGCAUUACUGCACAUUAAUGACGAAAAGACCAACCACUCCACAGCAGGACCGGCAGGGGAGGUAGAGACGGAAACAGAAAUAACUGCCUCUCGUACACAAGGAAAGUCAAGAGAAAUGUAAUCAAAACUACACUGAGAUGCUCCUUCCCCACAUCGUAGUCAGGACACACUAGAAAGCAUGCAGAUGUCUCGCUGCCCUAGAGAUCCCUCUAGGUGCCCAACUCGCUCUCUUGACCUGGGGAGAAUGCUGCGCAUCUGUCUCAGCUGUCUGGCGCUGAUUGCUUAAGAAAACUAGAUGGGCACACCGCAGCCUUGAGGGGAGCCAGGUGAGGCUGGGCAUGUCCUCAGCAUCUGGAUCUGUGGGGUGCAGGAAAUAUUGAUCAUGUGAGUUUUGCAAACCUGCUCUGACAUUCUUCACAUUGAUUUUGCAAAUCUGCCUGUCUGAACUCCUAAGGAUUUUCUUUUUUGCAAUUUAUUAUUAUUAAUAUUUAGUUAGAUCAUAAAAAAUGCAAGCAAAUCUAAUCAGUCCAACUCUGUCUGUGGCAGGUGAUGAUUUUUGGCUACUACAAAAAGAAAUAUGGAUCCAGUUCGACCUCAGAUGCAGGGUGAGGUGAGAAUGCCUGAGCAGAGAUCCUGGCGUGUGAACUGGGACGUGUAAUGAAUGAGACAGAAGGCUGUUGUCCCUCAGCCCCCAGCAGCUGUCCUGCCAGGAGCUGCCCCCAGGGGACUCAGGGCCCACCACACAGCAACUUACCUGCUUACACCAAGUGCGCAGCGUCAUGACAAAGGGAAACCUCUCCCAAAAGACAGAGCGGGGAAAGAAUCGUCCAGCCUGUCUCGCCUUCCUGUAGAAGGAACAACAGUGGGACAGCGUUUACACUUAUCUGAACGUUGGUUCCUGGUGUUCAGGGCUCUCCACAGGUCUCAACCUCCCUGCCAUCCCCUCAGGCAUUCCCUUCGUUCGUCCUCUAUUCUCACUCCACAUUGGGAAUAUCUCCUCUCCUUCUCCUAGAAACAGGCCCAGGCUCUGCACAGUGUCCUUCCCACUCCUGAAAUAUGCUCAGGCUUUCCUUGGAAUCUUGGCAGGCCAGGGCCCAAGCACAUCCUGCCCAACUUCCUGUGCGUAGGUUUGCACUGCUCCCUCUCUGCUGGCAGCUGACGUGCUGCCGGUUCCACCUGGGAACGGGAUGGACGACUUCUGAGCAGGGUCAGCCCUCCCUGAGGUGCACUGUCAAAUGUCGAGGGAGCCAGGGUGCCUCUCUUCUCAGGAAGAUGCUCGUGCUUGCCCCGUGGCCCCUCGACAGCACCACAUCCUGAGAGGAGAAAAGUGAAGGCUUAGCGGGUGGGAUCACGCUGCCCACGAUCUUGGCCCGGGUCCCUUCAGUGCUUCCUGGUUGUCUCCUCGUCAGCACAGAUGGAGAAAAUAACAAGACGACCAACAGGCUGAGCUGGACAGAGACCUUUCCUUUCAGCAUCCUGUGAGCCAGCCAGAGAAGAUUAGCCCUGAGCUAACAUCUGCCACCAAGCCUCCUCUUUUUGCUGAGGAAGACUGGCCCUGAGCUAGCAUCUGUGCCUAUCUUCCUCUACUGUAUAUGUGGGACGUCUGCCACAGCACGGCUUGACAAGUGGUGCACAGGUCUGCACCUGGGAUCCGAACUGGCAAAGUCCAGGCUGCUGAAGCAGAGUGCGCUAACCCUACUGCUACGCCACCAGGCCAGCCCAGUAUUUUAUUCUUUUUGAUGCUAUUGUGAAUGGAAUUAUUAUUUUAAUUUCCUUUUUGGAUCCUUCAUUGUUAAUGUAUGCUGCGUGGGCUUCCACCCUGAUGGGCAUGGAGAGCAUGAUCCAGCUGUGUCCAUAAGAUCUUAGAACACCUGUACAGCUGGAAGAGCCCUGGCCAGCCUUGGUUGACAAGGACUCAGACUUUUCCAGGAAAUGGACUGGUGCCCAGAGAGGUCAACUGCUCACAGCGUCUGCCUAGUAACCAGAUCCACAAGAGCCAAGCUUGGCUCCAGUCCUCUCUCCUGGCCCUGCCACACGCUCCCAGCAUCUAUUUCUUACAACUAAUGGUGCUGAAAACUUAAUAUCCACACCUGCUGAUGCCUGUUGACAUGCGAAGUGAAUCUGCACCAGAUCAGUGAUGCUUGUAGAACACGGACACAAUAAAUGGAUUCUGAUGCUCCCUAAAUGCCAGCCAAUCUCUUUCAGACCUCAGCAGGAAUACAUUGAAUUGAUAAACAGACUCUAAAUAAACCUCACCGGAAAUCACAAUGUGGCCCCUUAGAAAAGAGCCAAACCCCCUCCAUCCACAAUGACGAUGUGGGUCAGGAACCAAACUGCACACAACCCUCAUCCUGGGCUCUGAGGGUGACGCGUUUGCUGCCAUGGAAAGUGUUUGGGCUCCUCGCUCCACCUGUAUCCUCAGAGGCCUUAUCUCCAGGGCAAAGGCAGCCUUUCUGGAGGUGGAGACCCACCAUCUGUUGUCAGUGCUCUCUUCUUCCCUGGCCUCUGAACUCUGCAGCCCCAAACGGAAGCCCUGAAAGCAGGCUGUGUGUGGUUGCAGCCUGGUGAGCCCCUGCCCUGAGGGCCCUUAUCUGCAGCCACACUUCUGGAGCCAGGCCAGUGACCUUGCUCCACCGAUGAACUUCCCCACUGACUUCUCAAUUCCUGGAAUUGUUCAGAAAAUCCCGUUGGAAAUCCAAGGACGGCUGGGUCUCUCAGUGCUGCUGCUUGUGCACAGAGAAAGGAAGAGCUAUGGCCUGACUGUGGGGCUCUGGGGUCUGGGAAUCCCACACUUUCAGGGGCUUGUGGGGAGGGGGCUUAGAUUCUGUCUCCUUCUGCUGGUCGUGGUUCCUGGAAUGUGGAAGCAAGCCUAGAUCCUAUAGAAGCUUCUCAAGUUCUUGGCCCCCCGCCCUCUAAAGGGAAACCUUUAGGAUAAAAAACAAUUCACCUCAUUAGAAAGCACCCCUCUUUUAAUAUGAAACACAGAAAUGAAGAAGACAGAAAGGAAAGAUGAAAGAAAUAUGAAAAGGCAGCACCUUUCCAGCUCUCAUUAUGUGUCUGACACUGCGCAAAGGACUUGAUCAACACAGACCUCAUUUCGUUCUUAUAAUAACCUAGGAGACAACCAUCACUGUCACUCCCAUUUUACAGAUGCGGAACUAAAGUGCGGGGCAGCUGCAUAUCCAGAACAGCCCUUUCAAGGCCCGUGUUCAAACAUCGUUAAGAAUUUCAAGAUGGCGACAGUGGAGCAUUAAACACAGCAUGGGCCCUUCUGGGCGCGGGCCACGUGACUCGUCUCAGCGAGCAGAGGAGGCAGCCUCUGGAGAAAGAAAUGCUUCUGACCUCAGAAGAAAUAGAAUAUCUAACCAGAC